ACCAAUUUGACAAUUCGGGGAUUUGUGACGAGCAGUGCGAACAAAAAUGUGAAACCUGCAAAGGGUCAUCGUGAAACUCGAAGUUAUGACAAUGAUUUUUUAGUAAUAUAAUCGCGACGGAUAAAUUAUAGGAAAAAGGGGACGGAAGGUUGAAAACCAUCAUCGAGCUUAUCAUCGCGAAUUACCACGUGUGGUCAUUGGAAUAUCGAUCAAGUACUUACGGACUGCCCUACCAUAAAAGACAGUCGAUUCCGACUACCUUGACUGUUCCAAACGCGAUAAGUUUAUCUUAAACGGCGAUUAGCAGAAGGACGUAAUAAGGAAGGUCGUUCAGAUAGCAAGGCACGUUCACGGUAAGAGGCUAAACAUCCUCGAAAAUCCACUGCAAUUCUAUGGCCCUCAACGGGGACGAAAUUUAAUGACGUUUUCCUAUGAACAUAGAUGGAUAUGGCCAUAACGAGAAUAUACGAGACUUGCCAAAGCAGCUUCUAAAAAAGUACUCGAAGCAACAAUAGUGACUCAUAAAUGUGCGUAGUAUUGUUGUUCAACGUACUACGCAGCCUGCCACAUUAUUUUGCAUAUUUUAAAGCAGCACUUUGUUUGCAAUAAAAGACAUGACAUUUCGUUAAAUCUGAAUUAUGACUGUUAAUCUAGCUUAACAACGAUACUGCAAAGAAAUUUUUUUACGGAACGAGCGUCGUUAAUCAGCCCGGUUUUAUUGUAUGCAACUACGAGUGCGGGGAUUAUUUCUUUUUGUUCGAUGGAGAAAGCAAAAGCGAUCGACAAAUAGAAUAUGUUUCUCUACGGUCACUGCACUAUUCGCGGUGCGUGUCGCGGCUUUUCAGGGACGUGAGUUUCGUCGCACUGGCCCGGAAAAUGUAGCGCACUGCGACAAAUUUAUGCAACGGGAAAUCGCGUGUAACAUUCGACGUGGUAUCAACUUCGCAAUCGUCAGAAACAAACCGCGCAUCAUUUCUAUUCGAACAAUAGUAUUAAAAAGAAUAAUUGCGACCUACGAAUCAUUAUCGAACUAGCCAAUAAUCUGGUCGCGGGUCGUGCACGUAGCAAGGCACGUUCGCGGUAAGAGGUCAAACAUCCUCGAAAACCAUUGCAAUUCUGUGGCCCUCAGCGGGGAUGAAAUUUAAUGACGAACGACGGAAACGUGCCUAACGCGACGCUUCCUCCUCCCAUAAACGGAGGGUCCUCGAAGGAGAGAAAAAAAGAGAGAGGAAGAGAGAGACCCCCGGCCAGCUGCCGCGGUCGGUUCUCUCGAUAGUACAUUCGUCGGGCGUAGUUAUGCGUACGGCCCUGAGCGGUUUCUCCUCGCAAGUACACGUGUACGCACGCGAGAUGCGCGUAUAAAUACGCGCGCUUCGCGUCGGUUUAUUUAUACGCAAGGGUGUCCGUUGCGUGGCACCCACACCCUCGCCGCAACGGAAAAUCAUGUUUUGUUUCCUUCUCGUCGCGAUUCAUUGUCAUGGUGACUGAGAUUUAAAUAGUUUAACGAAUUCGGCAGAGGUUAAUAGAAACUUAUUUACAUGUGGACACGCUUGGAUAAACGAGAAACGCAGGUUUCAAGAUCAGAUAUUACUAAUUUCACUCCGGUUUGAACUUGACUGAUCGCGUCGCGUUCAAGAUAAUUGCGCAGAGAUAUUUCAACUAAUAACCAGGUUGCGAAUUUUAUGAAUUUAUAAAAAAGAAGUACACGUAGUAUCAGCGCGUCGUGAUUUUUAAAGGAAUAUCUUACUGUAUUUUGUUGAAAGUUUCGUCUUGCAUAAAAAUUUAGCAAUAUAUAACAAGAGAUUGGCAAUAAAUCUAGAAAAUGUAAAUCGAUAGGCGAAAGGAGAAAGCGAAGAGAGGACGUAACCCUCAAAGGAGGACAUUAUCUCGCAGAUGUGGUCUGAUGCACGCAAUACAGUCUACUUCUUUGGCGAAGUAGGGUGAAGCGUGUUUCGGCAUGAAAUAUUGCGUGCCGCCGCAGCUGCGCUUCUCUCUUUGUCUCCUUUUAUUCACCCCGUGCACAACGUGUCUUCUGCCCCUCCUCCGCCUCAUGUUUCCCCGCAUAAGAAAACUGUGCGACACGCCAACGCACCGCGUUAAAUAUGUGUACUUUUACUUCCAACUGGCGAGGAUUAAUUCCUCCGAGAUCUUUUAAUAAAACAGUCUUAAUCUCUCCAGUUUCCAACGAUUCGUAUCUUCGUUUCUUGUAGCGCGACGUUAUCGCGCAACCCGGCUACAUACAAUGCGAGAAACUUUAUCUCUCGUGCCGCCGACAUGUGCUCGUAAAAUGCGCACGAACUGAAAGUCGCGAAUCGCAAUACGAAAAGCGUUUUAAAAAUAGCCGGUUGAAAAAUUCUUUCUAUAUAAUGCGAUCAGACGAUACGGUUAACAUGGUUCGCGUGAAAGGAAUUAUAAACAAGGAAUUGUAGAUAACGAACGUAGCAUUUUUCGCAAAAGUGUUAUUUCCCGCCAGUUCGCGCACUAACAUGGGAGCGGAUCGAACAGUAAAGCGUUCCACGGUGCGCAUCGUUUGCCGCUAUUAUCGCACCCGGUCGUUCAUAUUAAAUUCAUCCCUAUGAAUUUCCCCCGAGCGUAAUUUUCUGUCAACAUCACGAAAAACGUUUUGCAUACGACAACAAUUAAGAUUCUUAAACAUAGGAGAAUUUCUAUCAGGAAGAACGUAGUACGAAUAAAUGGAAGGAGUUCAUCAAUGUAAGUUCACGUGGGAGAUUAGAUAGAAAGAGAUGAGAGAAAUCUUUAUCGAAAUCGUAUGCGCUAGACAUCGUUGCGUGACUUGUUACGAUCGAAUUUCUAAACUACAGUAGGUAUUGGAAAUCGCAAGUGAAAAUGCGAAAAAGAAGAGUAUCGUAGGACGGCGUGAGAUAGGUUCGCAAGCACGCAAGCGUGAUCUCCUUUCGGGAGUUCGAGGGAUGUACAUUAUCAAUGAUAAAAUCCGCGUAU